ensembl:lncRNA
CACACAGCAAUAAUAAAGCAGUUCUGAAUCACAUACAUGGCACCUGCCUGCACAUCUGGCUCUUCUGCUUGCACUUAAGUAGACACACAGGCUUACUAGAGUUACCAGGUAAUGGAAAAGGACCGGAUAAGGAGGUCUGCCGGCCAUGUCUUCUGGCCAUGCUGCCAGUUCUUUAAUGCAAAUCCUCAGCACUGAAGAUUACUGAGUUGGGUAAUGUUCACUCAAGGCUGCAAACACUUCCAGGAAUUGUUUCACUGAUUUAUGAGGAGAGGUUGUGCAGUCCAGCUGCACAUUAGAGCAACCGAUGUCUGCCACAGGGCUAUAGAAGAUGCACUGGCCUCUGUCAGUAAAUGAGCCUGAUGUCUAAGGGUAUUGAAGAGAGAGGGACUGAAAGAAAUGGGGUACCAUAUCCACGUCACCCAAGAAACCACGCUGUGAAUGCUGCGAAGUACAAGGAUCGAAGAGUCAGACCCACACCAUUCCUGCUCACGAUGACACCCUGGCAUCUGAAGAACAACAUGACACCCACCACAAAACGCUGCUGUUGGCUAGCGCUGUCUUAAACGGGUAGUUGUGGUUUAAUCGUUUCUUCUACCCCUAUAAAGUAAAAGGCAAAGCUAACAGUUACCAUAUGGUAAAGGUAUGAUUCAAAGCCCUGCGUAGUGAGUGCCACGAGGACAAAUAUGCACGCACGAUUAUCUCCGUGCUGAGAGAUGGGGCUGAAUGUAGGUAUGUAUAUACAGUGAAGUCUGUGACUUCAGUGACUUCUGUAAGGAGGUGAAGGCAAGCUCCCAGCGAACUAACAGCCUCCACAGAUGAUCCUUUAUGAACGUUUUGCAUUUGGUGUACUUUCCCUUAAGGCAGCGUGAUGUAUCCCAUCACACACGUGUAUACGUGUGUGUGUGUGUGCAGAGACACUGGGAAUGUCUUAUGUGCAUAUUACACAACAUAUGCCAUUCGUGUAAUCACUUUAGAUAUAUAAAUAAAAUUCGUUUUAUAUACAUAAAUAAAAUAUGUGAAGGUAUUCCUUAAAGGAGCCAUAAAGGCCCACGUGUAGGUGGAUUCUUCAUCACAUCCAAAGAACUGAAAGACCGGGGAUAUAAAGCGGAAUCUUUUUAUAUGAGCGUGUAUCUCUUAUAAUCUCUCCAUAAAAUCCACAUGGCUGCAUAACCACUUCCAGAGAUGCGGAUGGAAGUUAUACCUGGACAGCCCGAAAGCCUUUAAUAAGUAAAGCAGCAUAUAAUCCUAUGAAAUGCCUUUCAGGAGUGAAAUAAUUACAAAGCGCUGGAGCAAGAGCAGCAAACAGCAGGAAAAUCACCUGUGAAUAGAUGUGAGAAACUGGAAGUGUACUCCAGUGUUUGUGUGGUCAUCAAAAUCAAACGUUCAGGAGCUGGAAAUCCAACUGCCGGGAGGGCAGACUGAUACAUUUAUAGGCACGUAUAGCCCGUGCCUUAAACUUUGAGUCUGCAACGUUGUUAGUGAGGUAUCCUCCUUUAUAAUGCUUGGCAUUUGUUCCCUUGGCAUUUAAAGAAGAUGGGCUGUUUUAAUUACAAUUUGAGCGAAUUCUUUAAAAGAAAAAAAAACCAAACUGCAAAAUGACUGAUGCAAAUCCCGGCCACUCGUGAGCACAAUGAAAUUCUACUGAGCAGAGAGGACACCGGGAGAGGCUCCCGAUCAGCUGCAGCAGAGAAUGCCCUGCGCUACGCAGCCCUCAGACGCCGGGAUUCUGAAAUACGAAUUAGACCUCAAAUGCAAAUCAACCUCCGAAGGGGGAGAAGGAAAAAAAUAAUAAUAAAAAAAAAAAAAUCAGAGAGACAUACCGAGUCAAACGCUCCUUUUUCUGCCUAUCUCGUCCCCAGUGUUAAAACAGGCAAAACAAAACAAGUGCACAUCAAGAUAGAGCCAAUUAAGGGGAAGGCAGCGCGGAGGGCGGGUGGGAGGCAGCCACCUCGCCGAGCACAUGGGGAGCGGGAGCGCAUCGCCCCACCUCGAGCCGUCCCUGAGCCUUCCGAGCUCUCCCAGGAGGACAACGGGGGGCGGACGGCGCCGUCCAACCUCCCGCAGCCACGAGCACAGCGGAUCCGGCACGGGAGAGUUCGGGCAGCGCGGAGCGGUGCGCUUCGGCCAAGGGUGGCACCGGGAUCCCAGCGCAGUGCCGCACUCCGCGCGGCCGGGCUUUACGCACAGCGCAGUACGCGGGAGGUGUCUUUACGUUUAACGUUUUAAUUUGGACAUGCUAAUUAGGCUGUGGGUCUCCACGGUUCUAUCGGCGGAUAGCUGAUCGCUUCCCUCUGCGAGGAAGUGUCUGCUAAAUACAUUUCCCGGCCCCGAUCUCCGUUCCCAGAAGCCCGUCUAGCAGAACCGUCCCGUCGGGCGAAACGGACCUUUAAUAAUGGAAGGCCGAGGGAGGUUCUGCGCAGCGGCGCACCGCCUCGGGCACGGCCCCAACGCGGCCCUCUGCAGCGGAGCCAUCGAAAUAACUCCGUGCCCAGCGAACUUGUUGCUCGCUUUCAGCUCCUCCGCUCACCCCGGCUCGGGUCGGUGCCAGGCGAGGGGCAGAGGCAGCCUGGGGGAGAAGCCGCCGCUGUCGGGAAAUGUUCCCCCAUCAAGGAAACAAAUGAUCGGGAGGGAGCAGCUCUAUGCGGCAUCUGUUCCGAUGGAGCGCACAGAGUUAACCCCGCUCAAAGGAGCGCCGGGCGGCGGCGAGAAGUGGAAAAUGAGCGAUUCUGCUCCCCCCGCGCGGAAACCGACACCUCCCGGGCCCCCCAGCCCCCAUUGAUCUGCCCAUCGACCGCUGCCAAAGGACUCAUGCGAGGGAAUUAGGGUGAUGGCGAGGAUCGCGCGUCCAAAAGAGCAGCGGCGGGGGGGGAGGAGGGUGGAGGUCGGGGGGAGUUGGGGGGGGGGGGGGGGG